rnacentral:lncRNA from 1 species
GUAGAGAUGCUGGGUGUGCGGGCGCGGCCGGCCUCCUGCGGCGGGAGGGGAGGGUCAGUGAAAUCGGCUCUGGCGCGGGCGUCCUCCCACCCUCCCCUUCCUUCGGGGGAGUCGGUUUACCCGCCGCCUGCUUGUCUUCGACACCUGAUUGGCUGUCGAAGCUGUGGGACCGGGCCCUUGCUACUGGCUCGAGUCUCACAUGAGCGAAACCACUGCGCGGGGCGCGGGGGUGGCGGGGAGGCGGGCGUUGGUACGGUCCUCCCCGAGGCCGAGCGCCGCAGUGUCUGGCCCCGCGCCCCUGCGCAACGUGGCAGGAAGCGCGCGCUGGAGGCGGGGGCGGGCUGCCGGCCGAGACUUCUGGAUGGCGGCGGCCGCGGCUCCGCCCCGGGUUCCCACCGCCUGAAGGGCGAGACAAGCCCGACCUGCUACAGGUGUGGAAACAGGAAGAGAACUAGAACUGGAAGUAAAGCAUUGAAGAUGUGACUGAAUUGCUGCAAUCUCAUGAUCAAAUUUGAAUGGAUGAGGAGUUGCUUUUUAGGGAUGAGCAAAGAAAGUGGUUUCUCGAGAUGGAAUCUACUGGUGAAGUUGCUGUGAACAUUGUUAAAAUGCCAAUAAAGGAUUUAGGAAUUACAGAAACCUGGUUGAUAAAGCAGUGCCAGGGUGUGAGAGAGUUGACUUCAAUUUUGAAAUAAGUUCCACUGGCUGGGUGUGGUGGCUCACACCUGCAAUCCCAGUACUUUAGGAGGCCGAGACUGGUAGAUCAUUUGAGGUCAGGAGUUCAAGACCAGCCUUGCCAACAUGGUGAAACCCCACCUCUACCAAAUUAGCCAGGUGUGGUGCACACCUGUAGUCCCAGCUACUUGGGAAGCUGAGGCAGGAGAAUCUCUUGAACCAGGGAGGAGGAGGUUGCAGUAAGCCGAGAUGGCGCCCCUGCACUCCAGCCUGGGUGACAGAGUGAGACCUUGCGUUUAAAAAAAAAAAAAAAGGAAAAGGAAAAAAAAGUUCUACUGUGGGUAAAAUGCUAUCAUGCUAUCAAACAGCAUCACAUGCUACAGAGAAGUCUUGUGAAAGGAUGUCAGUGUGGCAAACUUCAUUGUCUUUUAAGAAAUUGCCACAGCUAUCGUAAUCUUCAACCACCACCACCCUGAUGAGUCAGUAGCCAUCGUUAACGUUGGCGUAAGACCCUCCACCAGCAAAAAGAUUGUUAGCAUUUUUUUAGCAGUGAUGUAUUUAUCAAUUAUACAUAAUGCUAUUGUACACUUCUUAAUAGACUAUGGUAUAGUGUAACCAUAAUUUAUGCACUGGGAAACCAACAAAUUCAUGAGAUUCGCUUUAUUGUAGUGCUCUGGAAUUGAGCCUGCCGUGUUUCUGAGGUAUACCUGUGUAUUUAGUAUGUUCCUUGUAUAUAAAACCCCAUUUUAUAGGGUAGGAAACUAAGGCUUAGAGUUUGAGCAAUUUUCCCAUAGAUAACACCAAUAAAUUGAGGGCUGCAGAGACCACUUAAGUGGUUCUCUUAACAGUAGUCUAGACAUGACGUAAUGAGAUUUGGCUUAGGAGUGACAAUGGUAAGGAAGUUAAAGGAUUCAGGAACCAAAUACCAGUUAUUGAGAAGAAAGAAUGGCCUCAAAACAUCACUUCUCAAGGAAGCCUUGAUACCCUCACCCUUACUACACUGUAUCCUCCAUUUGAAUGUUGUCAAGAGCUCUUCUCACAAUUGUAAAUAAUAAUUGUGUAAUUUUGUUUUUUUUUUCCUACUUUAGGUUGCUCCUUGAGGGCAGGACAGUUCUUAUGGCUUUAUCCGUUGCGUAAGCACAGAGAGGUCUGCGAGGUCAAAACUAUUGUCAUGAUAGCAAGAUGCCUGUCUUUUUCAUUUAUUCUCACGGUGUGCAGAGGCUACAUGAUGUGUGAUGACAUCCUCAUUGAUGUUAAUGAAUGGUGCUAUACUUGAAUUUUCUAAGGUGUCAUUAGGUAGGUUUAGCAAUUCUCCUGCCUCAGCCUCCUGCAUAACUGGGACUACAGGGAAGCACCAUUUUCCACAAAACUCUCAAGAAGGACUUGUUGCAACUGGAAAAGCAAUUAAAUGUGAAUCGUGAUCCAGGAGAAAGUAACAACUCACAUAACUCCCAAAUUAAAAGUUUUCCAAAGAUAUAUCAUUUUUUUUCUCUUGGCCUUUUAAGAAACUAGCCAACAAAUACUCUUGACAGGUUUGUGUUUGGUUUUGAAAACACACACCUUAGUGUACUGAAAGAAAAACAAUUUCUUUUAAUUUGGUUUGUUGGUCCCACACCCCAUCUAUCAAUGUAUGUGCUAUUUACAAAUAAGUUCUAUACAGUAUUUUUGCAGUACCUUUGAUAAUUCCUAGACCUCUAUUUUCAUUCUGUGUAUUAAUGUGAAUAACAGAUGGAUAUUUUAAUAUUUAAGGCAGAUGGUAAACUUUCCUAUAGGUCUUGUGAGACUUCGUCUUAUAGGCUGAACACCAUUCACAAAAUGUAAUAAUGCUUCAUUCCUUCAGGUUGAGGUAAAGAACUUGAGCAACUGGAUUAGCAAAGCUGCAAAGAAUGAAAUGUGGCCUAAGAUGUAAUUAUGUUCUCUGCCCUUCCUUUGGGCCAGGGUAGUUUUGCACUUGACACAAUGGAAAAUAGGCCAUAAAGCCUGAAAAUAAAAUGUUCUAAACCCCAA